CAUGAGACUGCAUCCAGAGGGCCAGGACGGGCAGUGGAGAAGAUCAGGCAAGAUAGUAAUUUUAAGAGCCUGGAUGAACCCAAAGCUCUCUUGUAGAGGUCUGUGUAAGAACAGGCCCAUCUCAUGUUAUUGCACUCAGGAAGUGUGAGCUGUGUCUCAUGUUUGACAGGUGCAUCCUGACAGCCCCCCACCUGCAAGACACUAUCCUAGGAAUGACAUCAGGGUGCCAAGAAGUCAGUUACUCAGACAUGCAGAGGCAAAAGGCUCCCCACAGAGGAAGAAGUGAUAGAGACCUAUGGAGGGUACUUGGUUACAGCAGUCCUAGGAACUACUACACCUGCUAAUGUCCACCUGUUCUUCAAGUCUAGAGUGAUUUCAUGGAGAAAGUCUCCCAAGUCCUUUGCCUGGAUGCAACCCCUUGUUAGGUGAAGUCCCUCCUCUGGGUACCCUGCUGCCCUGUGUACACCUCCAUGCAAGAAUCUCCCCAGGCCCCACUGGGCAAGUGUGAAUUAUUCUGUGGGAACCCUCAUUUCUUUAGGCUGCUCUCUGUCAGUGAUGUUGGGCAGAAUUCAUAAGACUGUGUGUUAGUCAGUUUUCAAUUACUAUGAUAAAAUACCUGAGAUAAAACUUGUAAGAGGAAAGGUUUAUUUGGGCUCACAGUUUCCGAGGUCUCAGUUCCCAGUUGAUUCAUCUGAUAUCUUUGGGCCUGUAGUGAGAUGGCACAUCAUGGAGGGAACAUGGGAUGAAGAAAGCUGCUCACCUUAUGGCAGGGCAGUGGAGAAGGGAAAGAGAGAGGAAGGGGCUGGGUCCCAAUGGCCCCUUUAAGGGCCCACCCCAAGACCUAACUUCCUCUCACUAGGCCCCACCUCUUAAAGGCUCCACCACCUCCAAGAGCAAGCACAACAGACCAGGGACCACAGCUUCAACAGGUGAGCCGUGGGGACUCUUAUCCAAACCAAGGCAGAGCCCCUUCACAGAGAUGCCCUCACAGGUGUGGGACAGAGGACGCGUGGCCCUCUUCAUGCUGCAGGGCCUGCUGUCUGGGGCCGGACACCCACCCCCAGCGUCUCCUUGGCUGGUAGCCUCCGUUUAUGCUCCAGGCAGCUCCCCCUUUCUGUGGGCAGCUGUUCCUUCAGCCAGGGGCCUUUCCCUCUCUGUGGUCUUGGGGCUGAGCCCCCAGGUCUCGG
rnacentral:lncRNA from 1 species